GGGGUGGGUACUCAGUGAUACAUGUUUAUGGUUUUGAGCCAUACAAAUAACAAAUUGAUUUCUUUAACUUUGAUACAUUCCUUUGCUAGAUCAAUGAAAAACUCAUGCUCUGUUGGAGAAGUUCUAAUCGGACAGAAAUGCAUGCCAAGGAAGCUAUACAACAGAGUUUCCGGAUGGCAGAAUGAAUUGAACCUCUGAGGACGGAUGGCGCUACUAUGUCUCCAGAUGACGUCAACGUCUUCUGGGACAACAGCAUGAAAAGCUGAAAUGUAAUCAGCAAGAGCCUGGCUCAAGAUUACCUCAAAGAGUAUACAUGUGUGCAAAUAUAACAGGUCGACCCUUUAAGAAGAAUCACUGAUGUUUAUAUGCCAGGUUUGGGUUAAAUGCAAGUGUGGGAAGAUAGCAAGAGACCUUUGAAUGAUGACUAAACAGGCUAAGGAAAGGAUUCUCUUCACAUUCACAAAUUUAGAUUCAAAUGAUCAUUUGCUAACUUCUACUGUAGGCCAAGCCCACAUGUCUUAUCUCAUUUAAUACACAUAAUAACUUAGAGAGAAACUGUCAUUUAGGAAAAUAGAAAUGCCAACACUGAGGUUCAGAAAGCCUUAACUAUACUUUGCCAAGAGAACAACUGACCAACUAUUUAUUAUUUUUUUCAAAUAUAUCAACUGAACACUUACUGUGUAUCAGAACCUAUGCCCCAACCAGAGUGGAGGCACAAUUAUGAGCAAGACAGAGUUGGGACAUGAACUCAAAUUACAUGCAAAACUAUAUAAUUUAUUCCUUACAACUUUAGUUAAUUCACUGAUCUUAGAUCAUUGGAGCAAGUUAUAAUCAAGUUAUUACUCCAGACACUCAUGUUACCUUUAUAUGGAUGUAUGUGCUAUAUUUACUACAAUUUUUUUUAUAUUUUUCCACUUUUCUUUCUCAUAUGGAGAAGAAAAUAAAUAGCAACCUUAUCUCUGUAUAAUCCUCA
rnacentral:lncRNA from 1 species